UACGGAGGGUGCGAGCGUUGUCCGGAAUCACUGGGCGUAAAGGGCGCGUAGGCGGCUUCUUAAGCGUGUGGUGAAAGCUCAGGGCUCAACUCUGAGUCGGCCAUGCGAACUGGGAGGCUUGAGCACUGUAGGGGCAGGUGGAAUUCCGGGUGUAGCGGUGGAAUGCGUAGAGAUCCGGAAGAACACCGGUGGCGAAGGCGGCCUGCUGGGCAGUAGCUGACGCUGAGGCGCGACAGCGUGGGGA
rnacentral:rRNA from 1 species